rnacentral:rRNA from 1 species
AGCGAACGCUGGCGGCAGGCCUAACACAUGCAAGUCGAGCGCCCCGCAAGGGGAGCGGCAGACGGGAGAGUAACACGUGGGAACGUACCCUUUGGUUCGGAACAACCCAGGGAAACUUGGGCUAAUACCGGAUAAGCCCUUACGGGGAAAGAUUCAUCGCCGAAGGAUCGGCCCGCGUCUGAUUAGCUAGUUGGUGGGUAACGGCCCACCAAGGCGACGAUCAGUAGCUGGUCUGAGAGGAUGAUCAGCCUCACUGGGACUGAGACACGGCCCAGACUCCUACGGGAGGCAGCAGUGGGAAAUAUUGGACAAUGGGCGCAAGCCUGAUCCAGCCAUGCCGCGUGGGUGAUGAAGGCCCUAGGGUUGUAAAGCCCUUUCGGCGGGGAAGAUAAUGACGGUACCCGCAGAAGAAGCCCCGGCUAACUUCGUGCCAGCAGCCGCAGUAAGAC